CACGGUACUUUCGGUCUGGUGGCGAGUGGCGAACGGGUGAGUAAUGUAUCGGAACGUACCUUUCAGUGGGGGAUAACGUAGCGAAAGUUACGCUAAUACCGCAUAUUCUGUGAGCAGGAAAGCAGGGGAUCGCAAGACCUUGCGCUGAUUGAGCGGCCGAUAUCAGAUUAGCUAGUUGGUGGGGUAAAGGCCUACCAAGGCUACGAUCUGUAGCGGGUCUGAGAGGAUGAUCCGCCACACUGGAACUGAGACACGGUCCAGACUCCUACGGGAGGCAGCAGUGGGGAAUUUUGGACAAUGGGGGCAACCCUGAUCCAGCCAUGCCGCGUGAGUGAAGAAGGCCUUCGGGUUGUAAAGCUCUUUCGGCCGGGAAGAAAUCGCAUAGGCUAAUACCCUGUGUGGAUGACGGUACCGGAAUAAGAAGCACCGGCUAACUACGUGCCAGCAGCCGCGGUAAUACGUAGGGUGCGAGCGUUAAUCGGAAUUACUGGGCGUAAAGCGUGCCCAGGCGGUUUAGUAAACAGGCGUGAAAUCCCCGGGCUCAACCUGGAACUGCGCUUGUGACUGCUAAGCUAGAGUACGGCAGAGGGGGGUG
rnacentral:rRNA from 1 species